AGAUGAAAGGGAAGUCUUCAAGUGGACUCAAACGGGUGAAGAACAGGAACCACUGGAAAAAGAAACCAAUCAUUUCCCCGGUAGCUGGAGUGGCCGGGGUGGCAUUUUCAACAGACGAGGAAACAGUAGCUCUUGGAAGACUGAAAUAGGAAUGAGUGACAUGAGUCAGAGUUUGCCCUGAUUGGCUGCCUUCUCUUCUCCAUCAGCGAGGCUGUG